rnacentral:rRNA from 1 species
ACCGGGCCGUCAGGGUCUUAUUUCUCCUGCGCCAGCCGGAUACUGCGCUCUAUCACCGCCCGCCGGGUAUCGUCUGCCGGCAACAGUUUCAGCAUCAUCUCCCAGGCCGCCACCGCCUCGCCAAAGCGCCGCUGCUCAAAGGCGUUAAACGCAUACAGGCUUAACACCCGGAUAUCCGUGUGGUCGCGGCUCACCAGCUGACGCAGCAGCUCCCCGCCGCGGCGGUUAUCCUCCGGGUCGGACGAGCGCGUCAGCGCCUCCGCGUAGCCCAGCGCCGCAUCGCUGUUUUUCGGGGCCAGACGGUAGGCGUUCGCAUACGCCCCGGUGGCGGUACCGGCAUUACCCAGUACCAUACCGGUGCGCCCCAGCAUGAGCCAGCCCUCAACAUUGCCGGCAUCAUUCUGCAGGCGGGUGCGCAGCCCCAGCGCCAGCCGCGCCAUCUCCUCUUCAUUCAGCGGCUGCGCCGCCGGGUCCAGCGCCCGCGCCAGCAGCCCGGGCGUCUGCGCCGUUGCCUGCUGCCAGGCCCUGACCUGCUGAUAGCUGCCGGUCAGGGCGUAGCUGCCGGCGCCGACCGCCAGCGCAAUGACGGCCCCCGGCACGUAAACGCCCCACCCGGCGCGCGCGCCGCAAACCGGGGUGUCCGCCGGCAGCGGCUCCCGGCGCAGGCGCACCCGCCGGCGCGUGCGGGCAACGAUUAUCCACCCGCCCGCUACGAUGGCGGCCAGCGGCAGCACCCACAGCAGCACCGUCAACGGGGUCAGCGGCGGGUCGUAGGUGACGAAGUUGCCGUAGCGCGCCACCAUGUAAUCGAUGAUUUCCUGGCGGCUCUUCCCCUCCUGCAUCAGGUCAUACACCCUGCGGCGCAUGUCGGUGGCUAUCAUCGCGUUCGAGUCCGCAAUGCUGUUGUUCUGGCAUUUCGGGCAGCGCAGCUGCUCCGUGAGCUGGCGGAACUGCUGCUCCUGCGCUUCAUCUUUAAACGGCAUCACGUCGGUGGUCGCCCGCGCUGACCCGGAGAUAACCAGCACCAGCAUCAGCAUCACCAUGCCCGGUAACAGUCUCAUUGCGCCGCCUCCCGGCUGUAUCUGUCCCACAGCGGUUUCAGUUCACUCUCCCACACCCGGGCAUUCAAAUCGCCCGCAUGGCGGUAGCGGAUAAUCCCCCUGCCGUCGAUGAGGAAGGUUUCCGGCGCGCCGUACACGCCCAGGUCCAGCCCCAGCAUCCCGUCGCUGUCCGAUAAACUCAGCGCAUACGGGUUGCCCAGUUCCUUUAACCAGGCCACCGCCUUCGCCCGGUCGUCCUUAUAGUUCAGCCCGACCACCCGGAUACCCUGCGCAGAAAGCUGGUUCAGGUACUGAUGCUCGGCGCGGCAGGUCGGGCACCAGGUGGCCCAGACGUUAAGCAGCACCGGUUUCCCCUGCGUCAGCACCUCCGCCUCAUAGUACUGACCCGGCGUCUCCAGCGAUUCCAGGCGGAACGCCGGCACCGGCUUCCCGGUCAGCGCCGAUUCGAGAUUCGUCGGGUCAUCCCCCUGCGCGUUGCGCG